rnacentral:misc_RNA from 1 species
GAUGAAGACCGCAGCGAAAUGCGAUAAGUAGUGUGAAUUGCAGAAUUCAGUGAAUCAUCGAAUCUUUGAACGCACAUUGCGCCCGCCAGUAUUCUGGCGGGCAUGCCUGUUCGAGCGUCAUUACAACCCUCAGGCCCCCGGGCCUGGCGUUGGGGAUCGGCGGAGCCCCCCGUGGGCACACGCCGUCCCCCAAAUGCAGUGGCGGUCCCGCCGCAGCUUCCAUCGCGUAGUAGCUAACACCUCGCGACUGGAGAGCGGCGCGGCCACGCCGUAAAACACCCAACUCUUCUGAAGUUGACCUCGAAUCAGGUAGGAAUACCCGCUGAACUUAAGCAUAUCAAUAAGCGGAGGA